UACGUAGGGUGCAAGCGUUGUUCGGAAUCAUUGGGCGUAAAGCGCGUGUAGGCGGUUAGUUAAGUCUGGUGUGAAAUCCCUGGGCUCAACCUAGGAAGUGCACUAGAAACUAACUAGCUAGAAGAUGGUAGAGGAAGGUGGAAUUCCAAGUGUAGGAGGUAGAAAUUCGUAGAUAUUUGGAGGAUACCGGUGGCGAAGGCGGCCUUCUGGGCCCAUUCUUGACGCUGAGACGCGAAAGCGUGGGUAGCAAACAGG
rnacentral:rRNA from 1 species